CUCUUAUUCAGAGUGGUGGAGGUACAAAGGACCUGUGAAGCUACGGCAACCCCGUUAUUUGGAGCGGAAGGUGCCAACCUGAGCGAGUUACUGUUUACAUGAAAAUGGCGAUAGUUCGAACAAUAAGAG
rnacentral:ncRNA from 2 species